rnacentral:pre_miRNA from 1 species
AGUGGGAUAACUGGGUCAUAUGGUGGUUCCAUUCCUAGUUUUUUGAAGAAUAUUCAUACUACUUUCCAGAGUGGUUACACCAAUUUGCAGUCCCACCAGCAAU